GGAAGUAAAAGCGUAACAAGGUCUCCGUUGGUGAACCAGCGGAGGGAUCAUUACCGAGUUUACAACUCCCAAACCCCUAUGUGAACGUUACCAAACUGUUGCCUCGGCGGGAAAUUCAUGCCCCGGGCGCGUCGCAGCCCCGGACCAAGGCGCCCGCCGGAGGACCAACCAAAACUCUUUUGUAUGUCCCUCGCGGACUUUUAUAAUUCUGAACCAUCUCGGCGCCCCUAGCGGGCGUUUCGAAAAUGAAUCAAAACUUUCAACAACGGAUCUCUUGGUUCUG
rnacentral:misc_RNA from 1 species